AUCAACAAUAUGUAUAUAGCGGCCGGUAUUACUUAUCCCGAAAAUCGUCCUAAAUGUCGACCGAUUCAGAUAAAGCUUUCGCGACCACUGUUGAGAUUUGCCGGCGAAAAGCAGAUACGGGAGACACUCCUACACGAGAUGAUACACACGACUAUCAGUUUGCACUAAACAUUAGCGAUGCUGAUGGACCCGAGUUUAUCAAAAAGAUGCAUCAAUCAGUUUGCACUAAACAUUAGCGAUGCUCAUGGACCCGAGUUUAUCAAAAAGAUACAUCAAUUGAAUCGUAUGGAAGACCUGUCUAUAAGUGUCUAUCACAAUAUGGUCUAUGACCAGGAUGGUUUUUAUAGGGCAUGGAUCAAAAAUCGUAGGGCACGGGAAAACAUGCCGCCAAAGAUCAGUACAACAAUAC